ensembl:lncRNA
CCAUGUAAUCGCUCCAGCUCACCAGAUGUACAACACUCAGGACCUCCUCCACAUAUUGUUCCAAAGGCCAUCCAUCCUGCUGAAUGUUCCAAAUUAACUCCUCAGCCCAGUUCAUACUUUGCUUGGUCCGGUGUUCUGUCACGGUGCUACGGUGAUGAGUUGAGGAAUGUGAAGACGACGCCCAGUGUCAGUGAAGAUGGUGUGGACAGGAAUUCUGCUGUUUAUGGGAAAUCUGAAGGAACAUCUCCCAGCAUUCUACCACAUGUUGCCCUGAUGAUUGAGGAAUUUUUUCGGACUUUCCUGCCUCUUUGGAACAUUUCCGUUCACACAGACUGUGGAGAGAUGGUGUGCAGCUUCAUGAUGUGAAGUUUAGUGCCGAUGGAGAGCUUCUGGGACAUUGACAGACAGCACUUUCCAGCAAGUUCAUUUUGAGUUCUUUUUUUUUUUUAUUAAUUAAUUUAUUUAUUUAUUUAGUCAAACUUACAUUCACUAAUGCUGGAGUAACCUUUUAGAAGAAAACUUUCAGUCCUGUUUAAUGUUGGUGCUAGUAAAUGUUUGAGAACUAAUGGCCUGGUUUCACAGACAGGGCUUAGACUAAGCCAGGAUCAUAGUUCAAUAAGGACAUUAAGUAAUUUUCAUUAACAUGCCUUAGAAAAAACAUUACUGGCUUGCAUCUUGAGACAAAACAAAGGCACUGGUAUUUUUAAAGAUCAGUCAGUGCAAUUUUCUAUCAGUUGAAACAGCUCAGAAUUACAUUUUAGUCUGGGGCUGGUCUUAAGCCUUGUCUGUGAAACCAGGGGUACAAGUAACCCACUUUGGUAAUGUUUUACAAUAAGGUCUCAUUUGUUGUACAAAAUGAUAAUUUUCUUUAUUUUUUUGUAUUAAGUGUGUGUCUGUUUGUGUGUUAGUAAUCCUAUAUGUAAUGGGGACCAAAUGACUCCACAAGGAUAGUAAUACCAGUAAAUUUUGACCUUGUGGACAUUGUUAGGUCCCCAAUGAAGAAACAGGCUUAUACAUCUUACAGAAUGAUGUUUUCUGUGAUGGCGAAAUUAGUAUUGUUCUCCAGACUCUUUCUAAUAAGUGAGUUGAAGUGUUGUAACUGUAUAGUGUUGGGUUUUUCUUGUGCAUCAGCAAAAAGCAUUUUUGUGUAUUUGUUUUAGAGAUUUUGUCAAAAAAUGUAGAGGGUUUUCCAUUUUGUGUUUUUGUGUUGAUUGUAACUAGGUUAUUAGGAUGUUGUUGUUGUUGUUGUUUGUUUGUUUUUUUGUUUGUUUGUUUUUUAAUAUAUUAAAUUUAAACUUCAUUGUCAGAGAUAUAUGACACUGAAGUACAUUUUAGUUCACAUUAAUUGCUUAUUCAGAAGUACAUAUUUACCAUAUUUCAAAGCACAUAUAAAAUAUACUAAAGUCCCACUUAAGUGGUUCAAAAAUAUCACUCAAAAGUUAAACUAAUUGCAAUUAAUGUAAUUUUAAACUGUAAAAUAUUUGAAAUUAAGUACAAAUAAUAUGCAUUUAUGUAGUUAAAAACAUUACAUUUAAUUCACACUUAAGUGUAUUGUUAACUGACAUUAAAGUGUAUUUUAGUUCACAUUAAUUGCUUGUCAGUAUAUUAGUAGUACAUUUUAACCAUAUUUUAAAGACACUAGAAGCAAUUAUGAACAUAUAAUUGUACAUAUAAAGAUGUACUAAAAAGUCCCACUUAAGUGGUUUAAAAAAAAAAUCACUCAAAAGUUCAACUUGUUGCAUUUCAUAUAACUUUAAAAUGUGAUACAUUUGAAAUUAAUUACAAUACAAUGUACUUAAGCGGUGAAAAUAACAUAUUUAUAAAAGUAUACUUAAGUGCACUUCUUUUUCAGAAUGGUAUGUAUAGCCAACUACACCACCUUGGGAAUUUCAUCCAAGAAAAUAAACUGUUAUAGACCUUAUGCAAAACAAGUGUGCAGUCAUCUUUAGAAUUUUGUCUCUGAACUUCUGUUUUUGUGGUAGCUCUAUAGCAUCACUGUUGGAGAGUAAUUAGCUGGUAAAGUGGAUUUACUUAUUCUAUAGUUAAUGGAAGUUAUCAUGUGCAUUGUAAUGUUCAAAGCAGAUGUCAUAACAAAUGGCACUUGACUGGGAUGGUUUUAAAAUGAGUGGUUCUUUCAUAAAUCCAGACGACCUUACCUUCAUGCUGUGGAAAUACAAACCGGAACAGAAAAGACAGCUACAUAAGAAUAUAUACAGCAUAUAUGAUCAUCAUAAGAAAAAAAACAGAUGGGUUCUGUAAUCACUACAUUAUUUAAAUUUUCCACAAUUAACAACAAUAAUAAUAAUAAUAAUA